rfam:Flavobacterium sp. 316 scaffold_5, whole genome shotgun sequence.
AAUACUAUAGCUCAAAGGGUAGAGCAGCAGCAAUGUAUGCUGAAGAUGGAGGUUCGAUUCCUUCUGGUGUUU